GAUGAACGCUGGCGGCGUGCCUAAUACAUGCAAGUCGAGCGAACGGACGAGAAGCUUGCUUCUCUGAUGUUAGCGGCGGACGGGUGAGUAACACGUGGAUAACCUACCUAUAAGACUGGGAUAACUUCGGGAAACCGGAGCUAAUACCGGAUGAUAUUUUGAACUGCAUGGUUCAAAAGUGAAAGACGGUCUUGCUGUCACUUAUAGGUGGAUCCGCGCUGCAUUAGCUAGUUGGUAAGGUAACGGCUUACCAAGGCAACGAUGCAUAGCCGACCUGAGAGGGUGAUCGGCCACACUGGAACUGAGACACGGUCCAGACUCCUACGGGAGGCAGCAGUAGGGAAUCUUCCGCAAUGGGCGAAAGCCUGACGGAGCAACGCCGCGUGAGUGAUGAAGGUCUUCGGAUCGUAAAACUCUGUUAUUAGGGAAGAACAUAUGUGUAAGUAACUGUGCACAUCUUGACGGUACCUAAUCAGAAAGCCACGGCUAACUACGUG
rnacentral:rRNA from 1 species